rnacentral:rRNA from 1 species
UACGUAGGGUGCAAGCGUUAUCCGGAAUUAUUGGGCGUAAAGAGCUCGUAGGCGGUUUGUCGCGCCUGCUGUGAAAACUGGAGGCUCAACCUCCAGCCUGCAGUGGGUACGGGCAAACUAGAGUGCGGUAGGGGAGAUUGGAAUUCCUGGUGUAGCGGUGGAAUGCGCAGAUAUCAGGAGGAACACCGAUGGCGAAGGCAGAUCUCUGGGCCGUAACUGACGCUGAGGAGCGAAAGCAUGGGGAGCGAACAGG